UAUUUAGUGUUAUCUGCUAUAGGCAGAGCAUCGUACACCUUAUUCCUACUCACAGAUUGAAUCUAGAAACCACUAUGUCAUCCAAAGGUGGACAGAAGCCUGACCCGUGCAAAGAUCCUUGCAAACCAGUUGUCCCGUGCCCAGAACCAUGCCCGGAUCCAUGCGUACCAAAACCUCAGUGCAAAGAUCCAUGCCCACCUGAUCCCUGCCAGCAACAAGGCCAACAGGGACACCAUGGAGGCCACCACGGAGGCCACCAUGGAGGUGGUGGAACCAAGAAGUGAGAAGUCAAUCCUCUUCUAUCUACAAGAUGAAAUUAAACGUCUUUCUGCCAAUCAAUGUUUAUUGAACCAAAUAUAUAUAUUUCACAAAUGAAAUUUAAUCUCAUAAUGGGAUCAUGUUGUAUACCACUGUCUAUGUAUACUUCAACUAGGGUUUUGAUUAUUGUAUUAAAAUAUGAUCAAAUGGGAAA